GACACGUGGUAUCCUGUCUGAAUAUGGGGGGACCAUCCUCCAAGGCUAAAUACUCCUGACUGACCGAUAGUGAACCAGUACCGUGAGGGAAAGGCGAAAAGAACCCCGGCGAGGGGAGUGAAAAAGAACCUGAAACCGUGUACGUACAAGCAGUGGGAGCACAGGUUUACCUGUGUGACUGCGUACCUUUUGUAUAAUGGGUCAGCGACUUAUAUUCUGUAGCAAGGUUAACCGAAUAGGGGAGCCGGAGGGAAACCGAGUCUUAAUUGGGCGUUAAGUUGCAGGGUAUAGACCCGAAACCCGGUGAUCUAGCCAUGGGCAGGUUGAAGGUUGGGUAACACUAACUGGAGGACCGAACCGACUAAUGUUGAAAAAUUAGCGGAUGACCUGUGGCUGGGGGUGAAAGGCCAAUCAAACCGGGAGAUAGCUGGUUCUCCCCGAAAGCUAUUUAGGUAGCGCCUCGUGAAUUCAUCUCCGGGGGUAGAGCACUGUUUCGGCUAGGGGGCCAUCCCGGCUUACCAACCCGAUGCAAACUGCGAAUACCGGAGAAUGUUAUCACGGGAGACACACGGCGGGUGCUAACGUCCGUCGUGAAGAGGGAAACAACCCAGACCGCCAGCUAAGGUCCCAAAGUCAUGGUUAAGUGGGAAACGAUGUGGGAAGGCCCAGACAGCCAGGAUGUUGGCUUAGAAGCAGCCAUCAUUUAAAGAAAGCGUAAUAGCUCACUGGUCGAGUCGGCCUGCGCGGAAGAUGUAACGGGGCUAAACCAUGCACCGAAGCUGCGGCAGCGACGCUGAUGCGUUGUUGGGUAGGGGAGCGUUCUGUAAGCCUGCGAAGGUGGCCUGUGAGGGUUGCUGGAGGUAUCAGAAGUGCGAAUGCUGACAUAAGUAACGAUAAAGCGGGUGAAAAGCCCGCUCGCCGGAAGACCAAGGGUUCCUGUCCAACGUUAAUCGGGGCAGGGUGAGUCGACCCCUAAGGCGAGGCCGAAAGGCGUAGUCGAUGGGAAACGGGUUAAUAUUCCCGUACUUGGUGUUACUGCGAAGGGGGGACGGAGAAGGCUAUGUUGGCCGGGCGACGGUUGUCCCGGUUUAAGCGUGUAGGUGUGUGUUCCAGGUAAAUCCGGUUCACUUUAACACUGAGGCGUGAUGACGAGGCACUACGGUGCUGAAGCAACAAAUGCCCUGCUUCCAGGAAAAGCCUCUAAGCAUCAGGUAACAUCAAAUCGUACCCCAAACCGACACAGGUGGUCAGGUAGAGAAUACCAAGGCGCUUGAGAGAACUCGGGUGAAGGAACUAGGCAAAAUGGUGCCGUAACUUCGGGAGAAGGCACGCUGACACGUAGGUGAAGUGAUUUACUCAUGGAGCUGAAGUCAGUCGAAGAUACCAGCUGGCUGCAACUGUUUAUUAAAAACACAGCACUGUGCAAACACGAAAGUGGACGUAUACGGUGUGACGCCUGCCCGGUGCCGGAAGGUUAAUUGAUGGGGUCAGCGCAAGCGAAGCUCCUGAUCGAAGCCCCGGUAAACGGCGGCCGUAACUAUAACGGUCCUAAGGUAGCGAAAUUCCUUGUCGGGUAAGUUCCGACCUGCACGAAUGGCGUAAUGAUGGCCAGGCUGUCUCCACCCGAGACUCAGUGAAAUUGAACUCGCUGUGAAGAUGCAGUGUACCCGCGGCAAGACGGAAAGACCCCGUGAACCUUUACUAUAGCUUGACACUGAACAUUGAGCCUUGAUGUGUAGGAUAGGUGGGAGGCUUUGAAGUGUGGACGCCAGUCUGCAUGGAGCCGACCUUGAAAUACCACCCUUUAAUGUUUGAUGUUCUAACGUGGACCCGUGAUCCGGGUUGCGGACAGUGUCUGGUGGGUAGUUUGACUGGGGCGGUCUCCUCCUAAAGAGUAACGGAGGAGCACGAAGGUUGGCUAAUCCUGGUCGGACAUCAGGAGGUUAGUGCAAUGGCAUAAGCCAGCUUGACUGCGAGCGUGACGGCGCGAGCAGGUGCGAAAGCAGGUCAUAGUGAUCCGGUGGUUCUGAAUGGAAGGGCCAUCGCUCAACGGAUAAAAGGUACUCCGGGGAUAACAGGCUGAUACCGCCCAAGAGUUCAUAUCGACGGCGGUGUUUGGCACCUCGAUGUCGGCUCAUCACAUCCUGGGGCUGAAGUAGGUCCCAAGGGUAUGGCUGUUCGCCAUUUAAAGUGGUACGCGAGCUGGGUUUAGAACGUCGUGAGACAGUUCGGUCCCUAUCUGCCGUGGGCGCUGGAGAACUGAGGGGGGCUGCUCCUAGUACGAGAGGACCGGAGUGGACGCAUCACUGGUGUUCGGGUUGUCAUGCCAAUGGCACUGCCCGGUAGCUAAAUGCGGAAGAGAUAAGUGCUGAAAGCAUCUAAGCACGAAACUUGCCCCGAGAUGAGUUCUCCCUGAGACUUUAGGUCUCCUGAAGGAACGUUGAAGACGACGACGUUGAUAGGCCGGGUGUGUAAGCGCAGCGAUGCGUUGAGCUAACCGGUACUAAUGAACCGUGAGGCUUAACCUUACAACGCCGAAG
rnacentral:rRNA from 1 species